UGCAAAAUUUCAGAUGCAUUAUUUAUAUUACUAUUGCUUUAUACUUGUUUUUCACUUUUUAUUAUGAUUUCAGUUACAGAACAACAAGCAUAAUAUUAAGUAGUACUUGGCAAUUGAUGAUGAAAGUCAGAAAAAACGCGUUUUUUUGUGCAUUGCUUUUAAGGGGCAUUCAAUUUAAUGCAUAAAUAAAAAAAUUGUGAAUUUACUGAAUUUAAAUGACUUAAAUAAUAAUUAUGAAAUUCAUUAUGAAAAAUUAUUAUUUUCCUUGAUCAUGUAGCCGAUCGCCAGAAAGGCUUCUGAAUAACGGUGUCCAGCGACAUUAGCGUCAGUUUAUAACUUCAUACAACUACAUGUAUGUGCAAGGCAUAACAGUGGUUAUUGGCAGCGAGCAACUCAAACUAUGCAAGCGCUCUUCAAACUGCAAAUUUUAGCGUGCCACAACAUAAUUAUGAGCAAAGUGGGAGCAAAGCGACUCGACAAACUAUGAAUGCAUGCACGCUCUACACAGUUUGCUGCGUAUAGCAGAAUUUCCAGCGCUAUCAGCUAUGUGUCUUACUUGUUUGCUUGCUAACCCUAAGUAAGCACUUGGAAAAGUUCAUUACCGGCCAUAAA